rnacentral:tmRNA from 1 species
GGGGCUGUUUCAGUUUCGAUUGCGUUAUGAGGGCGAUGUAAGCAUACCAAAGGCUCGGCUUUGUAAAAACGGAACAUUAAAUUUAAACGCAGAAUCUAAGAAUUCUAACAAAGUUGUAGCUUUCCCCACCUUCGGUGCUCAGAGCUAUGCUUGCGCUGCUUAACUUAUAGCAGUCCGUCGUUACUUACCGCUUCCGCACGUUAAGUUUCGGCGCUAAUUUUUGCGGAACUCAACGCGGGAAUUGACUGUGACCCGUGUUGAGUAUUCAGCAGUCUGCGUGCGCUAAAAGCCCGUUCGCCGGCGUUUGACGCAUAAAGAUCAAUAGGCGGAAUAAGUAUGUAGAAAGCACGUUCAACUAUCGUAAGACCGGGGUGCAAGUCCCCGCAGCUCCACCA